rnacentral:rRNA from 1 species
AUGCCAAGCUCCUCCUCCUCCUCCUCCAACCCCUUCCACUGCUCCCUCACCUCCAACUCCCUUCCCACAUCCUCCUCGUCUCCGGCUCCUCCCCUCGCCGUCCCGCGCCUCCUCCCCGUCACCGCCCCCUCCUCUCCCUCUUCCUCGUCCGCGCCCAAUCUCAGGCCGCAGCCGCAGCGGCAGCGGCUGAUGGCCGGCCCGGCGGCGGCCGGCGGCGGGAAGGGGGCAGCAGGAGGAGGGAUUAAGGUUGGCGGGAGCGGGGGGCCCGCGUUCGUGGGGCAGGUGUUCACCAUGCUCGACCCCUCCGGGAACGGCCUCAUGGCCGUCACCAAACGCUUCGACCUCCCGCACUUCAUCGCCGACAGGACUCCUACAUGGUUUAAAAGGAUAUUGUCACCAUUGAAGAAGAGCGACAAUGAUCCAGUGUUUAGGUUUUUUAUGGAUCUGAAUGAUUCAGUGUCCUAUGUUAAGCGGCUAAAUGUCCCAAGUGGUAUGGUGGGGGCUUGUCGCCUUGAUGUAGCUUAUGAACAUUUCAAGGAAAAGCCUCACAUGUUCCAGUUUGUUCCAAACGAGAAGCAGGUCAAAGCUGCUAAUAAGCUCUUAAAGUCAAUCCCACAAAGGGGCAGAAAGAAAAAACUUGCUGGUGUCCCUGUUUUUAGUGCUCAAAAUUUGAAUAUUGCAGUGGCAACAAAUGAUGGAAUUAGAUGGUAUUCACCAUACUUUUUUGAUAAAAGCUUGUUGGACAAUAUUCUCGAAGCUUCAAUGGAUCAGCAUUUUCAUUCAAUGAUUCAAAACCGCCAUAUACAACGUAGAAGAGAUAUUGUUGAUGAUAGUUUAACAUCAGAAAUACUUGAAGAAAGUGCAGACAGCUUGCUUGAGCCUCCAGAGAUGCAAGAAUUGAUGAAUGAGAUUGGUCCAGCUGGAAUACCAUUAAGUGUUGUAACAAAAGCAGCUGAGAUCCAGUGUCUUGAUGUUGUUGAUAAAUUACUUUUAGGAAAUAAGUGGCUCAGAAGAGCUACUGGCAUACAACCACAUUUUCCUUAUGUUGUUGAUUCAUUUGAAGAAAGGACAGCAGUUUCAGUUGACAGGGUUGCUACCUCCAGUAAUACUUCAACUGCCUCUAAGGAUGCUGACUGCUGCCCAAUUGAUCAGCAAUCUCAAACUUUGGAGUCAAACAUUGAUAGCGGCAACCACAGAAAACACAAUAGCCGAGAUCAUGGCCAGUCUCACUUCCCAUUUAGCAAUCUACUUUCUAAUAUAUGGCCAGGGCACGAUAGAAUGUUCAAACGGCAAGAAAAUGACUCCAGAUCCAGAAGAUAUGAUUCAAGCAUGAACAAUGAUUUGGAAGCAAAUCCUCUUCUACCCAAAAUCACCAUGGUUGGCAUUUCAAUGAGCGAAGGGGGACAAAUGAGCAAAGCCAACCUAAAGAAAACAAUGGAUGACUUGACAAAAGAGUUGGAGCAAGCAGGCGAAAAAACGGUCUUCGGCGGUGAGAAAGAUCCGCUGUUUGUUGCCAACGUUGGUGAUUACUCCAGGAUUACAAAGUUUAGCUCAACAUGA